rnacentral:piRNA from 1 species
UCUGUAGAAGAUGCCUGUUCGUGUCAGC